UGUUUUGUAGAUGAGGAAAAUUGAGGCUCAAAGUGUUCACACGGAGUGCGGCUGAGCCAGAGGCAACGGCAGGCAGUUCACCCCAUACUCCUUAUUCUGUUUUAAAAAAUUCUGUUGGCAUAUAGUUGACUUACAAUGUUGUGUUAGUUUCAAGUGUACAGCAAAGUGAAUCCGUGAUGCCUAGACUUAUGCACAUAUCCUUUUCUUACAUUUUGCUUUAUUAUGCUUUACAGACCUUGUGAGUUUUACACAUUGAAGGUUUCUGGCAACCCUACAUCAAGCCAGUCUAUGGACACCAUUUUCCCAACAUUUGCUCACAGCUUGUCUCUGUGCCACAUUUCGGUAAUUCUCACAGUGUUUUAAACCCUCCACCAGCAAAAUGAUUACGACUCACUGAAGACAGAGAGGAUGGCUAGCAAUUUCUAGGAAUAAAGCAUUUUAAAUUAGGAUAUGCAUGUUGUAUUUUGAGACACAAUGCCAUUGCACACUUAAUAGACUCUAGUAUAGUGUCAACAUAACUUUGAUAGGCACCAGCACACCCAAAAAUAUGUGCAACUUGCUUUAUUUUAGUGGACGGGAACCAAAAACCCCCAACAUCUCGAAGUGAUGCCAGUGUAUUGAAACCUUGUUUUUCUGUUUCCUAGGUCAAUCUCUGGCUCAAUUUUAGAUGGCAACAUUGUUAUCGAGGUAAAAGUAAAUACACAUUCAUGGAGAUAUACCUUUCAUCUCUUUUUCAGAAUAUGUUCUAGGAAAAUGCAAAAAUGUCCAAACAACAAGGAAAAGCCCCAGUGUUUCAUACUAACUAUGCUUUAGUCUCUUUACAACUGCCUUGAUUUGCAGAGUUGCUGGCACUAGAACUUUUUCAAAUCCUGAAGAUGCACCUCUGCAGGCCAGGCUGGACCAUUUCUCCAAGUGAGCCGCUUGAGCGCCCAGCUCUGUUAUUCCUUGUCAUAUUGAGGUCAAGUUUGGCCAUUCCCUUUGCAAGAUCAUAGUCAAUUUUCUUAAGUGGGAGUGUAUUUUUGGCAUGCUUCCCCGAGAAUCAGAGCCAGCAGCCACUUCUGGUUGUGGUGCUACGGGAGAACGGGCACUUUAUUCAGGACCCAAUGGGGUUGGCCUCAGGCUCCAGGUACAGUGAAUAUUCAAGUGAAGUCCCAGUUGAAACCUAUAAAUCUCUGACGUGUUAUCCACGGGUACCCUUCCCUCUCACUCACUUUCCUUUAAUUUUGCCCGUCAUGGAACCAUCAGAGGAACGAACACAGGAGCUGGGAAAUGAUUGUACCUGCAGGGAGCAGCCUGGGUCCUAAAAGAUAAGACCAUCCCACCUAGUUUUCAUGCUUCCACUUCUGAUCAUGGUCGGGAUAGGACUAUAUAUUCUUUGGAGUUCCCAUGGUGGCUCAGCAGGUU
rnacentral:lncRNA from 1 species